rnacentral:tmRNA from 1 species
CUUAAUCAAGCUAGCUUUUAUGCCCUGCUCUUCGGGUAAUAAAAGUUAAAAAUAAUAGAAUGAGCUAUGCAUGUAGAAGUUAGGCUGAAGGAUUGACGGACGCGGGUUCAAUUCCCGCCGCCUCCACCA